rnacentral:lncRNA from 1 species
AUGUGCUGCCGGCCCGGGCUCCAUGAGCGUGGCGGGCACUUUGCAGUCUCGGGUGUUCCUGCCCGGUCUUCUGUUCCUAAACUGCAGCAAAGGGAAAAGGAACUGAAAAAGGCAGGCUCGUCGUUGCAAUAUCACCAAAAGAGAAAAUUAACGGCAUGCCAUCAGGACCACAGCAGUUGGAGAAACAACUCUUUAUCCCGGCUUGCAGCCACGAGGUCUUGAUUGGGGGAGGGGUGGUGAAGAAUAGUCUGUGGGCUGCUUUUUUUUUUUCCUUUUACUGGAGCUGUACAGUGGAGUCGGUGAUUGCUGCUGAUCAUAAUCAAGUAUUUUAGGAGCUUAUUUAGACAUGUAUCUGAUAGCUAAGGAUUUUUCAACUUUAUUCUCUUACGUAUUUUUCAACUGUAAAUUAUUGGGCUUUUAAAUCCUGCUAGUAUUGCUCGACUCUUACUCUCACAAAUGGAUGGAAUUAAUUGCUGUUAGGAGGUUGGAAAAUAGCAAAUAUAGAUUUGGACGGUGGUAGUAAUUUUGAGCAAAUAAUGUUUUAUCUUUUUUUUCCUUAUUUUUCCCUAUUCCAGUCAUACACGUGGACCUAACUGCACCAGUAGCUUUUCUGAGAAUACUUGCUGAAAAGGAAGUUUUCUGGAAUGGGUAAGUGUAUUCUGAUUUUCUUGAACUUUUCUUAAAAACAAAUUUUUCUUGCUAUUAAAGUUGAAUAAAUAGGAUUGGUUUCUUAGAGAGUAAAAGUAGGUGUUUCUUUCUUUAGACAAUGUACCUUUUCUGAAAAACUAACUCAUUAAGUACGGAUUUGCUAAUUUUAAGGUAGUAAAAUUACAGUGUAAAUAUUCCUGUACAUUUUUGGAAACUGGCUUAUGCAGUUUACGAAAUAUAAUUUUAGACCCUCUUUUAAGUUGGGUGAUAAAGUAGAUAUAACCUGAGAUGAUAGAUUUAAACAGGAUAUUUACGUUCUGCUACAAUUGACUGAUAACACUUGAAGUGUAGUCUGAACAGUAAUUUUGUUAAUCAUUUCAACAAGUAUUUGCUAAGUGGAAGCCAGAAGAGGAGGAAAAUGUUUUGCCACGUGGAUGUGAAGAUUUCCUCUAAAAGCAGGAAAAAAGAGAACAUCACCUUGUAAAACUGAAGAUUGUGACCAGUCAGAAUAAUGUCAAAGUGCUUACAGUGCAGGUAGUGAUAUGUGCAUCUACUGCAGUGAAGGCACUUGUAGCAUUAUGGUGACAGCUGCCUCGGGAAGCCAAGUUGGGCUUUAAAGUGCAGGGCCUGCUGAUGUUGAGUGCUUUUUGUUCUAAGGUGCAUCUAGUGCAGAUAGUGAAGUAGAUUAGCAUCUACUGCCCUAAGUGCUCCUUCUGGCAUAAGAAGUUAUGUAUUCAUCCAAUAAUUCAAGCCAAGCAAGUAUAUAGGUGUUUUAAUAGUUUUUGUUUGCAGUCCUCUGUUAGUUUUGCAUAGUUGCACUACAAGAAGAAUGUAGUUGUGCAAAUCUAUGCAAAACUGAUGGUGGCCUGCUAUUUCCUUCAAAUGAAUGAUUUUUACUAAUUUUGUGUACUUUUAUUGUGUCGAUGUAGAAUCUGCCUGGUCUAUCUGAUGUGACAGCUUCUGUAGCACUAAAGUGCUUAUAGUGCAGGUAGUGUUUAGUUAUCUACUGCAUUAUGAGCACUUAAAGUACUGCUAGCUGUAGAACUCCAGCUUCGGCCUGUCGCCCAAUCAAACUGUCCUGUUACUGAACACUGUUCUAUGGUUAGUUUUGCAGGUUUGCAUCCAGCUGUGUGAUAUUCUGCUGUGCAAAUCCAUGCAAAACUGACUGUGGUAGUGAAAAGUCUGUAGAAAAGUAAGGGAAACUCAAACCCCUUUCUACACAGGUUGGGAUCGGUUGCAAUGCUGUGUUUCUGUAUGGUAUUGCACUUGUCCCGGCCUGUUGAGUUUGGUGGGGAUUGUGACCAGAAGAUUUUGAAAAUUAAAUAUUACUGAAGAUUUCGACUUCCACUGUUAAAUGUACAAGAUACAUGAAAUAUUAAAGAAAAUGUGUAACUUUUUGUGUAAAUACAUCUUGUCUUGUUUUCAUUCAAAAACAUUUCACUUUUGGGGUUGCGUGUCAGAUUUGGCAGUAUAAAUUCUGGCUAUAUUUUUUGUUGUUAGAUUUAUUUGGCUGUUAAGUAUUGCGAUAUGACUAAACAUACUGUAUACCUGAUGAUCAUCUGUAAAGUUAGAGUAUAUCUUUUUGCUUUCUUUGGAGUUAGUGUUAUUCCAGGAUAUUUUACUUAAUCUAAAAGUUAAUUUAUGUUGCUCAUAUAUUACUCAAGUAUUUAAAUUUAGAGAGAAUGCCGCUCUGUUUAAAGCAAUGUGUAAAGAUGAGUUUUUUUAAGCAUGGAAUUUAGGGUUGGGGUACAAUUUGUUUCUAUUAAGCAAGUACCAGUUUACCAAUACAUGAGUAACUGAAGUGUAACUGUUAAAUGCUUGUAUACUAGUUUUUCUUUCUGAUUGUCAGUGAUUUAUAAGCUAUAAAUGACCAAGGUCCUCAGACUGCUUUUAGCAUCUGCAACUUAAAAAAAUGGGAGUUAGAAAAAGAACAAAUGCUAAAUAGAGUAACAGUUAAAUGUAUGUGUACACUCUUCCCAAAUGCCAAGAGUGCAGCGGUGGGGUGAGAUUCAGAUAUUCAUUUAUUUCUAAGUCUGUAGUUAACAUUUAUGUUCCCUACUCCCUACGUAAGCCAGACUUUGGCAACAGUGAUAGUUGAUUCCAGGCUUAUUUGACUUAAAGUCACUGAAGUGGAAACUAAGAAGUGGCAGUUAGUGUUUUACCCAGCAUUUCUGCCUUCUCUCUUUUCUUCAUGUGUUUUUGUCUCUAGCCUAUGUGUAUUUGUGUAGAAUAAUGUGGGAUACCUGAAUAAUAGAUUUAAAAGGACCAAGUGGUAAAAUUGGGCCCAAGCUGAAGUACAGGCAAACUUGAUGUUUGAAAGAUAAGUUUUGAGAAAUGUCAUUGUAUUUUGGAGUAAAAGAGGCUAUCUUAGUAAUAAGAAAUAAACUUCCAUAACACUAGGUUAGACCACCCAAUAAAUCUAGAAAUCAGCUUUUAAAAAUAUUGUCUGAAGUCUAACAAAAGUUUUCACCUCUAAUGUGUUCUUUAAGAAAUUUAAGGAACUUAGCCUUGGAUUCCUGAAUAGAAAGGUAAGAAUUCUAUCAUUCUGGAGUUGAUGAAAACAUAAAUUUUCAGGAUGUGAAAUGAACAGUGAUUUAUAAAAUGGAAAUCAAAUUGUACAUUAGCAGAGUUCUUAAGCUUUUUGAAUUGAAGGAGACCUAAUAAUUGUGUCUUUUUGGUUAUUUAGUGACAAACGUGGCUUUCAAACUAUGCUUAAAAAGUUCCGGCUGGACACGGUGGCUCACACCUAUAAUCCUAGCACUUGGGGAGGCUGAGGCAGACGGAUUACCUGAGGUCAGGAGUUCGAGACCAACCUGGCCGACAUGGUGAAACGCUGUCUCUACUAAAAAUAUAAAAAAUUAGCCGGGUGCAGUGGCGUGCACCUGUAAUCCCAGCUACUCUGGAGGCUGAGGCAGGAGAAUCACCUGAACCUGGGAGGUGGAGGUUUCAGUGAGCUGAGAUCCUGCCACUGCACUCCAGCCUGGGCGCAAGACCAAGACUUAAACGCAAAAAAAAAAAAAAAAAAAAAAAAAAAGUUUCAUAAUACAGCAUGGUCUGGUAGUUUGCAAAAUGGUGUGCUUUUGGGGAGAUACACUAGCAAUUUUUUUAAAAACUGGAACAGUGUGAUAGGAAGCCUGCUGGAUGAUUUCUUAAAUAUUCUAAAAUGUAAGUCAAAUAUGUUUUAAUAACAAAGACUUAAAUGGCUUUUCUCCCUAGAGACUGAAACUAGUAUUCAUUGUGUUCAGAACUUAAUUGGGCUUGAACUGAGAUUUAAAUCUAAUAAACAAGUUAAUAAAUGUGUAUGUUUUGUUGUGGGUUUGGUAGUGAUCUGUGGUUCUAUAGGGUUUAAUAGGAAUUGCUUUUGAUUUGUUUCUGGCUUUAGAAUGUGAGGCAAAUUUUACAUUCUUGGUUCUAUUAAGAUUUUCUUAGGCAUGCUAACAUGCCAACAAAAAGCCAUGUAAGUAUUGUAUAAAAAGAUUCACAUUGUUAAUUUAGCCAUUUUGAAAUUCAGAUGAGUGAGCAAGUUGAUAAUGGCCUCAUCUCUGACCUGAGAAAAAACAACUUUGACCCUUGUUCUUAAAAUGCUUUAACCUUGAAGUUGCUUGAGACUUAAGAGGUCAUGUUGCUUUAGGUUUAAUAAAUAGCCUUAACUAUUUGGAGGGGAAAAAAUGGGUCAACUUUUUUUUUUUUUUUUGGCGUUUGCAUGUACAACUUUCUAUUUUUAGCCUAUAUUUGGAAAGAAAGCACUUAACAUUUUAGGAAUUCUUUUUAAAGCUGCUUGCAAAGUGUUGGUGAUUUUACUGAAAACUUUUGAGAUCUUCAUUUUACAGGCAGACCUGUCUAACUACAAGCCAGACUUGGGUUUUCUCCUGUAGUUUGAAGACACACUGACUCCUGACAAAAUGCAGCCUGCAACUUCCUGGAGAACAACUCAGUGUCACAUUAAAGUUUAUUAUGUAUUUAAUGAUACACUGUUUAAUUGACAGUUUUGCAUAGUUUGUCUAACUUUAGAGAAUUAAGAGCCUCUCAACUGAGCAGUAAAGGUAAGGAGAGCUCAAUCUGCACAGAGCCAGUUUUUAGUGUUUGAUGGAAAUAAGAUCAUCAUGCCCACUUGAGACUUCAGAUUAUUCUUUAGCUUAGUGGUUGUAUGAGUUACAUCUUAUUAAAGUCGAAAUUAAUGUAGUUUUCUGCCUUGAUAACAUUUCAUAUGUGGUAUUAGUUUUAAAGGGUCAUUAGGAAAAUGCACAUAUUCCAUGAAUUUUAAGACCCAUAGAAAAGUUGAAGAAUGCUUAAUUUUCUUAUCCAGUAAUGUAAACACAGAGACAGAACAUUGAGAUGUGCCUAGUUCUGUAUUUACAGUUUGGUCUGGCUGUUUGAGUUCUAGCGCAUUUAAUGUUAAUAAAUAAAAUACUGCAUUUUAAAGCUGUUAAGAAAUUGUCCAGAACGAGAAUAUUGAAAUAAAAACUUCAAGGUUAUUAUCGCAGUUUUUAUGGCGUUUUUGUUUUGUCACUACAGAUGGUCUAAAGGUUACUUAUUAAUUAAUUGGGGAAGUGGAGACAAGGACCAAAGUUUAUCUGGAUUUUCUUAUUUAAUCUUCAUUACCUGUGAAAUAUGUAUUUGUAUUCUUACUUUACAUAUGAGAUCAGAAGUUCAUUUUCAAGCAGAAUGGAAAGGUGGUAAAUGGACUCUGAAUUAAAAUAUGUCAGUAUUUUAAAAGGUUAUCUUCUGCCUAGUAUUUUUAUGGAAUCUGACAAGUUCUCAGAUCACACUUGUUUCCUUAAAUCUUGGUAAGUCUGAAGCAUUCUUCAUUUUGUUUAUAUUAUACACGUUAGUAAGGUGGGAGUUCUUUUGUUUUUUGUGUUUUUUGGCCAGUUGAUAACAUGAAAGUUUAAGAGAGGAGGCCAAAGUAUAUAAAAAGUCUUAAACUCCUGCUUCUAAUAAAUGUCCAAUAUGUGUUGGCUCCUGGGUUGAGUGUUUAUUAAUGGGUCUGUACUAACUCUAAAACAUUAAAUAAGAAUGGUAUGUUCUGACCAGCCCUCAAAGUUCAGCCAUUUCUAAAAGUUCAAAAAAUCAUUGUAAAUAUUUUUUAAAUGAGGUACGAGAUUGUACCUGUCUAUGGCCAGUAACACAAGAAAUCUAGGCUCAUGCAGAGUUUUAGCAUAGUUGACCCUCAGUAUCAGUGGAGGGAUUGGUAGGACCCUCAGUGCAUACCAAAUUCUUCAGGUGCUCAAGUCCCUUAUGUAAAGUGGUGCAGUGUUUGCAUGUAAAUCUAUACAUGUCUUCUUGUAUGCUUUAAGCUGUCUAUAUAUUGCUUGAAUAAUCUGGUAAAAUAUCUUACAUAUUAUUCAUGUAGAUUCAGUAUAGUAUUUGCGUGUGGCAAAUUCAGGUUUGGCUUUUGGGGACUUCGUGAGAUUUUUUUUCCUGAGUAUUUUCAGUCUGUUUGUGGUUGGAUGCAGGAACCACAGAUACAUAGGGCUAACUUAAGUAAGUGCCGACAUAAAUGCGUUAGUCAUAGAGGUAAAUAACAAAGACCUGAGUUUGGUAGUAAGUUCCCCGAAAUGAAAUGUUAGUAUACUCCUAAGUGAUUAGUAAUUAGAUCUCAGGUUGAAUAUACUAAAUCCUUAAUAACUGCAUGUUUACUUUUAAGACCUAGAUUUGUCAGUAUAUUAGUAGAGGUGAGCAUGUACUAAUUGUUCACACUUGUUUAUAAAAGCAUAUAUACUGUGAAUUUUUAGUACGUUUAAUGUUGACUUCAACUUACAUAGACUGAAAAAGAUUGAAAAAAAGCUUCGACGACAUCAGUUCUGCACUUGUUGAGAUGUACUGAUCCAGAUGGAAUACCACACUGUUCAGCAGGUUGGGGUAACUAGAUGAGACUAGUGAAUGUUCCAAGAGUAGAUGAAAAUUGGGGUCCUGUAAGGUGGUGCUAGGAAUUCUAAAGUGAUUAUGCAUUUACCAAGAAAAGGUUCUUAACCAGUUGUCUUAAAAUUAUUAAGACGUAAAGACCUGGAAUCUUAAUCUAGCUGCACUAUAUUAGAGUCUUUGGGGCAGGAUGCUGCGCAGACAAGUAUUUUGAGAAAUACCUGUUGAUUUUGCUGUAUAUACUUAAGGAUAUAUCUACUACCCUGAAUUGUUGGAAAUGCUGAGCCAUAGGAAUGCAGAAGAACAUCAAAACACCUUAGAAUUUAUAUGCAGGAAAGAGACCAGUAAACUAUUUUUAUGGUUCAUGCAGUCAUUACUCAGUUUUAUAGCUGACUGACAAAAUAUGUGCCCCAACCCCACAUUUAUUUCUAAAUCCACAGGCUUUUCCUUACUCUUCAAUUUCAGUAACUUCCCUUUUUCUUCUCCAAUGAUACUUUGUUUUGGUAACAGCACCUAACAGGCCAGGUGUGUAGUUGUCUUUGUGCUAUACCUGUAUUUCCUUGGUUGGCUACUGUCACAGUGGCCACCAUCAUUCUGAACAAGUAAGGUGCACAAGGUACAAGCCAUGUCUUUAGACAUAGGUUAUCGUCAGCAUUUAGAUUCUCCUCUAAGGCUUUCAUCUAAAACUCCCUUGGUUUUGUGUUUAAAACUUAGUCCACAGUUUUCUAGUGUUACCCUCAGAAUAAUUGUCAAAAUUGUACUUUCUAAUACUCAAGAUUGCAUCUAAAUUUCAAGUUAGAAAAGAUGUUUAUGCCAUAUUCUGAGUGUCUUGUGUUUAUAACCUAUGAUUCUGCCCUUGACUGUACUUACGAAUACUCCUUUUAAAAUACGAAACUUGAUUGAGACCCCAGCUCAUUUACUGAUGUCUUAAUACAACUGCCUUUCCACUUAAGUGUUUUGGCUCCCCCAGUUCCUAUCAUUUAUCCUCUCCAGGCAGACUUCCACUUCAGACUGCAUUUGCUAUUCCCUUAGUUUGGGAACUUCCCACUCCGGAUACCUAUGACUUAGUCUUGUUUCCUUGUAGUCCUUGUACACAGAUGUCAGACUGGCUCUCCCUUAAACUGCAUACUCUGUUCCUGUUCUCUGCAUCAUCAUCCUGAAUUAGUGGCAUCACCUGGGAUAUUGGAAGUGCAGGUCCUUCCCACCCCCUUCCAAACCUGAAUUGGGAGCUUCGUUUUUUAAUCCCCCCAAUUAAUCUCUAAGAUAUAAGGCCUCCAAGGGCAAAGAUUUGAAGAUGUGUGGUUCAUGGAUGCUUAUUCAACAUCUAAAAUGGUACCUGGUGUGUAGAAGGCACUGAAUAGACUGAACAGGUAAGUGGAAAUGCCCGUGGGUGAAUGUUACUUCUAGGAUGAGACGGUCUGAAAGAGAAAAGCAAAACAAGACUAGUAUGGGGGCAAAGUGCAUUAUUGACGGUGUGGUAAAAAGUCAUUAGAGCAACGUUGGUGGAGCAAGAAAACAGAGUAAGUAAAAAGGAUUUGCUGUGUACAGUAAUCCCAGCAAAAAUGAAGGAAAGCCUAGAAGUGGGGGAUCAAGAAAAAAACCAACUGAUAGAUGCUCCAUUUGUGUGGAUAUGUAAUGUUCAUCUGUUGGAAGUAAAUGUAAAACCCAGCUUCUAAAUCUCAGAAAGCAACUGACAGCAGCAAUAGGGUGAAUGUGAAAGCACUGAACAAAGUAACAAAAGUGCUGAGAAGUUGUGCUUUGUGACAGAUUAGUUUUCAUGAUGUUGCGUGGAUGUGAGAAGGCUCUGCUAAUAGGUAUAGUCAGGUGUGUUUUUUUUUUCGGUUUGGUUUGUUCUCUGUAUUACUUUGAAAUUUAGACUAUCAAGUACCAGAAUACUAUAGUUUUCUAACUCAGGUUCACUCCCUGCAGAAGGUUCAGGAGUACAAGAAGCCCUGCACUGAAUCGUGGUGCCUCAAUUAAAUUUUGAGUUGUCCUUUUGGCUUCCUGAGACAAAACAACGUGUUAAACCAGUUACUUCGAGUGUGUGACAUGAGAAGAUGGAUGAUGAUAAAGAGAAGUUGAGAAAGGCACCUCAGAUUAAUUUUAGGAAACAAAUGUAAACUAAACUUGAAUUCUAUUCUCUUUGAGUCAUGUAAUACUUGGCUAAUCGGUUGAGAAGCUUAAAGAACUAUUUAAGAAGUCUUACAGUGUAAUGUUUAGGACGGAGAAUUCUGGGUUCAAGUACCAGUUUCCUCCAUUAAUAGCUUAGGCAACUUAAGUGUGUUGUCUUUCCCCAAAAAUUGUAAGCUUAGGUAGGCUUUCCCAUCUUGAUCAAAAAGGUAGCUAUCAUGUUCACAUCCAGCUGGAAAAUAAACCUUUCCUCAACUUCAAAGUGAAUUUUCAGCUCCACUCUGCCCACCUGAACUCGGUCUGAGGAACAAGAUUACAUUCAGGCUUGAGCUUUGUGUACCAUCUCUGUUGACAGUACCACUGAAAGUCUGUUCCCUUCCUGAAGCACACAGGAUACCUAGGCAGGAAAUUAGAAAUGAGUCCUACCUCAGGACCGCAAUCUGUCUUUUUCACUUUUUGGCUGUUAUGUUCUUCACCAAAUCACUCUUUGGGAAGUAAGCUGCAGAGUGAACUGAUGGAUGUCUAUGAAAAUAAACAUGCAUGACCCUGUAACAAAGCAUGUGUGUCCUCAAGAAGAUUGCAGGUGAUUUUCAGAUGAGUCUCAUGUCUGCACAGUGAGAAUUCAUAAAAUGAAGUGUUAACCAAUACUCAGAAAGUGAGUUCAGAGGGGGAAAUAACUGCUGCAGUACUGUGUGUGCUUGAUACACAUUAUGACAGGUAGGUAAUUAGAAGAGUCUUGUUACUGCAUCUAGUUUAGCAUACAUAAAUACAGUAAUUAGGUUGUUUUUUUAAAAAAGCAAUUUUGUCACAGAACGAUCCUUAGUAUGACGAAUCCAAUAUUUAAUAUUUUUUCCACCCCAAAAUGGAAUGUACAGUUUAGUACCAAGUGAAACCAUUCAGUCUUGGUUGAUUGAUAUUACUAUCAGAAUAAAUUAUUGGUUUUUUUGUUUAUAUAGGAGUUGAGGCAUUUCACUGCUGUAAAGUACUGUGCCUUCUUAAAAUGAUGAUGGAAUAUUGGAAUAUCAAAGACCCUAAACACAUUUUAUUCAUUUUAAAGACAUGUAAUCCUGCUGAUAUUUAAAGUCUAAUAUUUUAAUCAUAGGUCUGUCUCCAAAAGGAUGUCAUCUAAAAGCAAUUUUCAUAUUUUGUAUAGGGUUAUUGCUUUGUAUUGAUUUGGUUUAUAAAAAAGGGACAACAAUCCAUUUAGCAGUCAUGUAAUUCAAUUUUAAAUUAUAGGUUUCUUAAAACACAUCUGAUUCUGGAUAAUGAUAGGAUCUAGGAUAUGGAAGUAGUGAUGAGCCUUAAAAUGAAAAAAGACUACUAAUAAAGUGUUAAAGUUUGAUAAUUCAAUGAGGUUACAUUGCAGCAAUUAAGCAGGCAUGUUAUAUAAUGCCUAUUGUUGAGAAUGAGUUAGCCAUGACCUUUGCCCACUUUUAAAAAAAUACAAUGCUAAGCACAGAGCACAUGCUACAAAGAUGCUAAAGAAAAUUAUGAGAUUAAUGAUUGGUUUUUACACAUUAACCAUGUUGUAACAGCCUAAGUGCUACUGACGCUGUUCUGUCUUAGACUCAUCAAAUAAUUGGACCAAGUUUGAGGAAAUCAAUUUCUACUAAAUAGUUAACCAUAAGGUAUAUUUGUAUUAGCAAACAAAAUGCUUUCAAAAUGUUCCACUUUUGAAACUGUUUGAGUCUUUUAUGUUGACUCAAUGACUUUGUUUACAAAGGGAAACUGAAGUGGAGUUAAGCAAUUAUCUGGCAAAUUUGAUCACUGUACACAAUCACAGGGAAUACAACAAAUAAUAUUUUAGAAAAGUUGUUUGAUGACAUCACAGCUUCACUCCAUAGAUCUUUAGUAGUUUUGGGGUUUUUAUUUUUUGAGGAAUUGUUGGAAUUGCAAUAAUGCAUGUUUGCUUGCUUCCAUUUUUUCCCCUCCCCCCCAUAUUUGUAUCUCUAAAUAAUAUGUACAUGGUUAAGAAUUUAGUAAUUAUUAACCCUAUCUAUUCUUACAACACUUUAAGAAUUUGUAGACCUAUCUAGGUAGUCAGAAUACAUUUUGAGUUUCAGUUGAAUGUUUUACAUUCAUAUGGAAAACUCAGGGGCAAAAGUAAUUAUUUUAAAUAAUGGCAUACUUUGAAACAGUUGCUCAAGGCCAAGUUAUUUUCUAGCAGAUUUAUUAAGUUACUGCCCCGUAAACUUAACUGCCUAUUUAUUGGUCUAUAUUCAUAACAGUGUCUCUUAUUUCCUAGUCACCUCAAAUUAAAAGGAAUUUGUAAGGUACUUAUCUUGAAGCCAUAUUAGUUUGAGCAUUAAAUGUCUUUCAAAUAUUUUUUAAUCUCAUGAAUCCAUGCCCAAAGAACAGUAAGGAUGUGUAUGUAGCAAUAUAUUUUUAAAUAUUACCUGAAGAUUUUCCCCAGAUACCUCCCUUUACCUCAUGUCCUUUCUUCCAUUUUUUCAGUUCUUAUUCAGUCUCAUAAAAGGAAGAAAAAUAAGGAAUUUGCUUGGCUUUUGGAUUUCAACUGUUUCCCUUACUGGAAAAUGAAAAACAUGUGCAUAAACAAUACAGUAAAUUUAAAUGAUUGCAUAAGGAUCUCUAUAUGCCUGAAAGUCAUGCUUGAAAAGGCCUCCAGUUUGAACAAGAGACAACAUAGCAGUGACAUUCAUGGCCUGAUGUCCAAAGACCAGCAUAGAAAAAAAAAAGCCAUUACCCUUGCCCUGAAUAUGUGGGCUGAAAUUCAUUGUAACUGUGUACAGGAGAUUAGAGACAGAAGGCAAUAAGAAAGCACUGGAAGUGCUUGGUCCAGAAUCAUUUAAUAGUGUAUGGAUUAGAAAAGGAGGUGGUAGUUAGAUGGGAUUAAGAAACCGUGUUUGUUGCUAACAAGAACCCUAAAUUCUGCCACAAUACAGUGAGAGGAGACCAUGGUUUGAUCCCUAUUAACAGUAAUAGUGGAUACUGCUAAGAAAAACCCAGCUAAUUAUGCCGCCGCCUCCUCUGAAUCACUGCUGUCCCUACUGGUUUAGUUCCUUAGCAGAAACAAAGUAGUAAUAGACGAAUAAAUCUGCCCUGCUGCAGAAGUGCAUUAGAGAACAUGAAGGUAAUUUUAUUGGGUGAAAACCUGGAGAAUGGUUUUUUUAUAACCUUAAAAAAUCUUAUUGAGUGGCCUGAGUAAUUUUGUUACGAUUUACUCAGCCCUCCAUCCUUCCUGUAGGACUUGUGAAUGUCCUUGUUAACUAUUUAAAGAUGAUAAUGGUAGCUAACAAUUUUGUCAAGCAUUGAGUAUUCAUUUAAUCCUAACUCCAGUCUGAGGUAAUUGCUGUGAUAAUUAUUCCCAUUUUACAGAUAAGGAAACUGAGGCAGAGAGAGAUGUAGCGGACCAAGUUCACAAAGCUGAUAAAACAGAGGAACCAGGAUUUAAAUCUAGGUAGUUUGGCUCUAGCACAAGUUCUCUUAACUGCUGUAUUGCCUUUCAGUCCAGCUUAUACAUUUUGAUAACUAUGCUAACAAAAUCCAAGGAAAUAGCAACAAAAUAUUAACAUUAGUUAUCACUGAACAGAAAAAUUUGGAGUUUUAGUAUUUUGAGUUUAUACCUUUCCCAAAUGUUAUAGAAUAAUCGCAUUCCUGUUACGAUCAGAAAAAAAUACUUUAAAAUGAGCAUAAUUUUUAUGAAAACUAGGGAGAGAAUUACAUAAAAUAUUCUCACAAGAAAGACUGGGAGAAAUACAUGCAAAAAGGUCUGUUGCAGUGUUACCUGUGUAGUGAAAUUUUCAGUCAUUUUUUCUUCUGUACUUUAUUUUUUGGUAUUUGAUUUUAAACCUGUAGUUUUUUUUUUAAUGCUAAAAAAUAUACAAUCAUCUUUAU